UACGGGGGGGGCAAGCGUUGUUCGGAAUUACUGGGCGUAAAGGGCGCGUAGGCGGCCUGCUAAGUCGGAUGUGAAAUCCCUCGGCUCAACCGAGGAACUGCAUCCGAUACUGGCGGGCUUGAAUCCGGGAGAGGGAUGUGGAAUUCCAGGUGUAGCGGUGAAAUGCGUAGAUAUCUGGAGGAACACCGGUGGCGAAGGCGGCAUCCUGGACCAUUACUGACACUGAUAAGCGAAAGCCAGGGGAGCAAACGGG
rnacentral:rRNA from 1 species